GUGCAGCAGGCGCGAAACUUCGCAAUGCGCGAAAGCGCGACGAGGGGAUUCCAAGUGCAUGCACUAAGUGUAUGCUUUUCGUGAGUUUAAAACGCUCACGGAAUAAGGGCUGGGUAAGACUGGUGCCAGCCGCCGCGGUAAUACCAGCGGCCCUAGUGGUGAUCGUUAUUAUUGGGCCUAAAGCGUCCGUAGCCGGUCCGGUAAAUCUCUGGGUAAAUCGUUGGGCUUAACUCAGCGAAUUCUGGGGAGACUGCUGGACUUGGGACCGGGAGAGGUCGGAGGUACUCCAGGGGUAGGGGUGAAAUCCUGUAAUCCUUGGGGGACCACCGGUGGCGAAGGCGUCCGACCAGAACGGGUCCGACGGUAAGGGACGAAGCCCUGGGGCGCGAACCGGAUUAGAUACCCC
rnacentral:rRNA from 1 species